rnacentral:rRNA from 1 species
UGGGGUAUAUUGCACAAUGGGCGAAAGCCUGAUGCAGCGACGCCGCGUGGGGGAUGAAGGCUUUCGGGUUGUAAACCUCUUUCGCUAUCGAACAAGGCCCGCUUAGGGUGGGUUGAGGGUAGGUGGAGAAGAAGCGCCGGCUAACUACGUGCCAGCAGCCGCGGUAAUACGUAGGGCGCGAGCGUUGUCCGGAAUUAUUGGGCGUAAAGGGCUUGUAGGCGGCUUGUUGCGCCUGCUGUGAAAACGCGGGGCUUAACUUCGCGCGUGCAGUGGGUACGGGCAGGCGUGAGUGUGGUAGGGGUGACUGGAAUUCCAGGUGUAGCGGUGGAAUGCGCAGAUAUCUGGAGGAACACCGAUGGCGAAGGGAGGUCACUGGGGCAUUACUGACGCUGAGGAGCGAAAGCAUGGGUAGCGAACAGG